rnacentral:lncRNA from 1 species
UCGUAAUGGGGAUCUGGCAAACUCAUACCACAAUUCCGGCAACUCGCGACACAAAUCCAGCCAACUCAUACUCGCGUCUUAGACAAAAAUCCAUCAUGCCCCCUAGUCGAGACCCAAAUUUGAUAUUAGAGGUUGAGAGGAUUUACCAACACACACACACCACGCCAUAAAUCAAUGAACACACGUCAUAAGGAGAUAACACAUUACAAAUCUUGCAUCGAUCAAAAAACAUGCACACAUGGAUCAACACACACACGCGAAUCUACCAACACACGAACGCAUCCAUUAGGCAGGAUCAACACGGCUGCUCAUGUUCGUCUUCCUCUUCAUCAAUUUCAGCACUAACUCCAUAAACUAGCCCUACCUAGCGGCUACCAUAGUACAAAUCACAGAUCAACUAAGGGCGUGUUCGGAGUCUCCCUAGCUUCUCAAAACUCUAUAAAACCAGCUUCUCAUCGUGGCUUCUUGCUCCGUCCAGCGAUUCAGAUUCUGUUCGGCUCUGACUCCAGCUUCUUUCCUGCGCUGCAGCCCAACUAGAAGGGAUGUGGCCUGUUCGUGCAUGUUGGGCCGGCGAAGGCUGCCCAUUUUUGGGUGAGCACGUGAGAUGAGGUGGACUCAUGUGAGAUGAGCAGUGCGUCAAUGGCGUUGGUGCUUAGGUCCUGAUCUUGGGGUUGCUUCCUUCGGGCUGUGUCGAUGGGAACCGGGCGGGACUGGCCUGGAACGCCUUGAUCUGUCGCCGGGAAGGAGCGCUGUGGCGGAGCAUGCGACGGCGGAUAGGGGUAGCUGCUUGAGGGGAACGAGCGGGGGAGAUAGUGUUCGAUACAUUUUCUUUUGUGUGCGGGCAGGAGAACGAAAAGGUAAGUUUGGCGGUGGCAUGCCGGCUGUAAUUUGGGCAAACUCCAGCUUUCAGUUUCGGUGGAGCUGGGCCGAUGCUCCUCCACGUUUUUGCACUAUCAUCGGGUAUAGCUUCAUGAAUUCAACUUCUCGGAGCCCAAAUGUUCGGGACAAUUUCAUUCGUGGAGUUUGUGAAGCCCGGAGCUGGAGGACUUCAGGCCCUAAGUAUGCAGCAGAAAAUUGCAAAAUGCAUUCAACCAAAUGAAAAUGGUGAUGAGUGGAGAGAAUAGGUCACAUACCUGCUGGAUGGUGAGAGAAGGUUGGGCGCUGCCGCGGUUGUGCCUAUUAGAUCAGGUAGGGGAGGGACCAUGGGCGUCCGCUAGGCUGGUGUGGGGAGAGAGAGCAGUGUGCCACCGCGUCCCUCUGCUGGGGGUGGGGACGGAGCACUGCGCCUCCGCGCCCUACACUACCGGUCGAAGAGAGGGCGUCGGGUCGACGGCGCACCACCACUUUCUUUCGCUCGGGUGGCGCAGGGAGGGACCGAUGGGAGCGACCACUUGUCAGCUAGGGGUGGUGAGGGAGCGUGGCGCCGCCAUAGCUUCGCCUCAGCGCGAGUAGGAUCUCAGCCACUGCCGUUGCGUGACACUGAAUUAGAGUACGUGGAUGUAAGCCGCAACGACGAGCCCGGGGUGGUGCCUCAUGGAUCUUGUAGCGCCGCCGCAUCGCCUGCUUGAUCUGAAAGCCCACAGGCUAGGGAGGAGAGGAGGGAGAUGGUGGGCGGUAGGCGGUAGCUGGGAGGGGGAGACGGGGACGGUUGCGGUGCAUUGGAGAUGGGAACCUCGGAGAUGGGGC